UUUGAUCUGCAUUGUUAUUGGUGGUGUUAGUGGUCAAGCACCAGCAACAUCACCAACAGCAACACCAGCACCACCUACGGCAACAACACCAACAACGUCUCCUCCACCAGCAACCUCCACUCCUCCACCAGUGUCAGCCCCACCUCCAGUCACCCAAUCCCCACCUCCAGCUACACCUCCUCCGGUCUCAGCCCCACCACCAGCCUCCCCUCCUCCAGCCACACCACCCCCAGCAACACCUCCUCCCGCCACACCUCCACCAGCAACACCUCCUCCAGCCACACCGCCACCUGCUACUCCACCACCAGCAACCCCUCCUCCAGCUGUUCCUCCACCAGCUCCCUUGGCUUCUCCGCCAGCUCUUGUUCCAGCUCCAGCUCCAG
rnacentral:lncRNA from 1 species